AGAAAAUAUCUUAACUUUCUAGUUUCGAUCAUUUUUUGUCACCGAAAGCCCUACCGAACUGUAAUCUCCAGCAGAUAGCAGUCAGAUUUUCUUUUCCACUCUCCGGGUGUCAGAAUGACAUGAAACUUUAAAUCUAGCAUCAUAAAAAUAAUUCUGAUAUAUUUCCAGAUUUUCACAAUUUUCUGACACUGUGAAUUUUCUGCUAAAAUAUCAGUUCCGUUUCUCACAGAGAAUUCUAAAUCUCCUGUUUUCAUUCCGAUUUCAGCACGAGGCAUUCUAGACUUACAUUUUACUUCCUUAAGUCCAAUAAAAAUAGUAUCUUCCACUAUUUUUAUUUACACUUAAUUUUAUAUUAAAAUCUGGUACAUU
rnacentral:lncRNA from 1 species